UACGUAGGGGGCGAGCGUUGUCCGGAGUUACUGGGCGUAAAGCGCACGUAGGCGGCUUUGUAAGUUAGAGGUGAAAGCCCGGGGCUCAACUCCGGAAUUGCCUUUAAGACUGCAUCGCUAGAAUUGUGGAGAGGUAAGUGGAAUUCCGAGUGUAGAGGUGAAAUUCGUAGAUAUUCGGAAGAACACCAGUGGCGAAGGCGACUUACUGGACACAUAUUGACGCUGAGGUGCGAAAGCGUGGGGAGCAAACAGG
rnacentral:rRNA from 1 species